rnacentral:tRNA from 1 species
AAUAGUUUUGUUUGAAAAAAAUAUUUAUUUAGCAUAUUAUUUGUUCAUCUUUUA